AUGUACAUUCCUGCAACAAAGUGUUAAUGCACUAGAUCCCAUUAGAACUCUGCAGUUAAGCGCGCUUAGGCUAGAGUAGUGCUCGAAUAGGUGACCACUCAGGAAGUCCUAGUGUUUUACAUG
rnacentral:rRNA from 1 species